UACGUAGGGGGCAAGCGUUGUCCGGAUUUAUUGGGCGUAAAGAGCGUGUAGGCGGCUGGGUAGGUCCGUUGUGAAAACUCGAGGCUCAACCUCGAGACGCCGAUGGAAACCCUCCAGCUAGAGUCCGGAAGAGGAGAGUGGAAUUCCUGGUGUAGCGGUGAAAUGCGCAGAUAUCAGGAGGAACACCGGUGGCGAAGGCGGGUCUCUGGGCUGACACUGACGCUCAUGCACGAAAGCGUGGGGAGCAAACAGG
rnacentral:rRNA from 1 species